UUAGAGUUUUCUGGAUACUUA
rnacentral:miRNA from 2 species